rnacentral:rRNA from 1 species
GAUGGGAGCUUGCUCCCAGGCGUCGAGUGGCCGUCUGAUGAGUAACGCGUAGGAAUCUGCCCAGUAGUGGGGGAUAGCUCGAGGAAACUCGAAUUAAUACCGCAUACACCCUACGGGGAAAAGGGGGCUUCGGCUCCCGCUAUUGGAUGAGCCUGCGUCGGAUUAGCUAGUUGGUGGGGUAAUGGCCUACCAAGGCGACGAUCCGUAGCUGGUCUGAGAGGAUGAUCAGCCACACCGGAACUGAGACACAGUCCGGACUCCUACGGGAGGCAGCAGUGGGGAAUAUUGGACAAUGGGCGCAAGCCUGAUCCAGCCAUGCCGCGUGUGUGAAGAAGGCCUUCGGGUUGUAAAGCACUUUCAGUAGGGAGGAAGGCCUGGCGGUUAAUACCCGUCAGGAUUGACGUUACCUACAAAACCAGUACCGGCUAACUCCGUGCCAGCAGCCGCGGUAAUACGGAGGGUGCAAGCGUUAAUCGGAAUUACUGGGCGUAAAGCGCGCGUAGGCGGUUUGUUAAGUCGGAUGUGAAAGCCCAGGGCUCAACCUUGGAACUGCAUUCGAUACUGGAAGGCUUGAGUACGAGAGAGGGGGGUAGAAUUCCACGUGUAGCGGUGAAAUGCGUACAGAUGUGGAGGA